CAAUGAAAGCUGCUGAAUAAUGUUCCCUUGUUAACAUAUUGAAUUCCGCACCCAGCGCUUUGUAGUUUUCCCCAGAUACCUAAUGAAAGAAUAACCGACAAUUGAAAAGUGUGACGUCCCAAAAUCUCUUUUGUAGUUUGUUAGAUAAAUCAAAGAUCUCAAUGACGUUCAUAUCAUUUUAUUAUUUUACUGAUUUGAACGCUGUCUCAACCCUACAGUUCUAGGUGAUGUGAAACGUUUCUCCGGAGCUGUGGUUGGUGUUUAAGAAUCUCUGUCCUCGUUUUUUAUCUAUUUCAGGGUGAAUUUGGAGUCUAUUUGGUUUCCGAUGGCAGCAGUCGUCCGUAUCGGUGUAAAAUCAAAGCGCCUGGAUUUGCUCAUCUGGCUGGACUUGACAAGAUGGCAAAGGGUCACAUGCUGGCAGAUGUGGUGGCAAUUAUUGGUACUCAGGAUAUCGUGUUUGGUGAAGUGGAUCGCUGAAGUUCAAAGAAAUUUAUUUAAUUUGGUUUUUAUUUAAUUUUUUUGCCUGCAGUGUUUAAAGUGAGAGUGGCACUUCUCUCUCUCUCUCUCUCUCUCUCAAUGUAACUCUAAUAUGAAAAAUAAAACAUGUUCAAAUCCCA